UAGUAACUUGCGAUAAGCCCAGAUUAGGUAGUAACAACCAUUUGAGUCUGGGAUUUCUGAAUGGGGAAACCCACGUGCAUAAGCACGUAUCCUUACCUGAAUACAUAGGGUAAGGAGGCGAACCGGGGGAACUGAAACAUCUAAGUACCCCGAGGAAAAGAAAUCAACCGAGAUUCCGAAAGUAGCGGCGAGCGAAAUUGGACUAGCCCUUAAGCUUUACACGCGUUAGACGAACGGUCUGGAAAGUCCGACGAUACAGGGUGAUAGUCCCGUAGUUGACGACGUGUGUUCAGUGAAAUCGAGUAGGGCGGGACACGUGAUAUCCUGUCUGAAUAUGGGGGGACCAUCCUCCAAGGCUAAAUACUACUGACUGACCGAUAGUGAACCAGUACCGUGAGGGAAAGGCGAAAAGAACCCCUGUGAGGGGAGUGAAAUAGAACCUGAAACCGUG
rnacentral:rRNA from 1 species